UCGGUAUAAAACACGGCGAAUUGACCUGUUUAAGGUCCGUAGACAGAAGGCUUGAACAGGGGGUUGUACAAGAUACCGGCACAUGUAAAGCGCAUGCGUACGCGUGCGCAGUGCUAUGCUAGUGGUCGGAAGAUGGCGUUGAGUAUGUUCGACUCGGAGACUGCUGCAGUGCACUGGAAAAAUCGUGUUUAAUCUCCGUUUUAGAAAAUGAAAGAUUUGGGGGUGACAAACCUGCUUCAGGAGUGGGACUUCCCACAUUUAGUUCCAAUCUUUAGAGUUAAAUGUUGCAGAAGAUGAGCACGAAGAAGACACCUACUGGAUGCAAUAUUACUCAUCACCUGACAACAUUGUUGUUAAUGUGACGAACCUCGGUACCGAGAUAUGAGUUGACUAGAGGAAACCCGCGACCAAGCACAGCAGAAAUUCUUGACAAAUAUCUACAGCUUUUGGGAAUGAUUGAUCAAGACUUUGAUUUAACAAUUGAUGCAGCUCCUGGUGCCCUUUUCACAAUGUGGCCAAAGUUGUCCAGGCAGACUUUGGAAUUU